rnacentral:rRNA from 1 species
CGGGGUGGAGUAACGCGUGGAUAACCUGCCUCACACUGGGGGAUAACAGUUAGAAAUGACUGCUAAUACCGCAUAAGCGCACAGUACCGCAUGGUACAGUGUGAAAAACUCCGGUGGUGUGAGAUGGAUCCGCGUCUGAUUAGCCAGUUGGCGGGGUAACGGCCCACCAAAGCGACGAUCAGUAGCCGACCUGAGAGGGUGACCGGCCACAUUGGGACUGAGACACGGCCCAA